rnacentral:lncRNA from 1 species
AUUUCUCUUCAUUUGUUGCAAAAAUCAUGCCCGUUCUUCUACUUUCUUUGUCCAUCGUACUCAGAUUUUUGCUAGGCUAUCUUCACACUUUUCUAGGUUUUUUUGACAUUCAAGGACUUUUUUUAGUCCACUUAUAAGUCUCUCAUCAGCCAGACUUUUUUCAGGGUUAUUGGCAGCUAUUUUCAUCUUUCUGAUUUGAUUUUUAAGGGCCUUAUUUUCCUGGGUCAGUUUCUUCUUUUCUCCCUCGUCGACUGCGGUUUGAACAUCAUUUUCAAAUUGAAGCUCCAUGACUUGCCUUUCUCAUUUGCUUAUUUUGUCCUUGUAUUUAUUCUCUUUGGUUAGCCAGUCUCAUUACGGUUAUGUCUCAACUGUGAAUUGUUGGACAUGUGGUCUCUUUGCAGGCCUUUCAAGAAUCUGGAAUUUCUUACCGAACUAGUCAAUGUACUUAGGUCCACUUCACCUCUAGCUCGGUCUCUCACUAUGGUCUUAGGUUCAAGAAACCUACACUCAUUCCAAAUUUGGCGAAUUUUCCCUUCUGGAAAUACGACUUUUGGAUCCAAUUCAAUGGCAUGUUUACUCAAAUCUUCAUCAUUAUGGAUGGUUUGAAAUCUUCCUAACUGACGCAAAACUCUAUAUGGAGCAUAAGGUUGGAUGCUCCGAAUGCUUAUCAAAAGGAUAUAAGAUACUGCAGCCGACAUGUGCACCACUUCGGUGAGAGGAAGACAUCCAAAUGCCCACUCAAUUUCAUCGGCGGUCAAAG